AACAAAUUAGGGCUUAGCCAACUGAUGGGCUUACCCUUUGCCCACAGCACGUUUUAACGGCUGCGGGCAAAGGGUCCCUUUUUAUUAAAAAAAAAACAUAAGGGCCUAUCCAUUUGCGUCGUAUCUCCCUCUCUCUCUCUCGCGCGCCCAUCUCCCAUAACCCAAAAGCCUCUCCCUUUCCCUCACCCUCUCUCGAUCUCCCACUCUCCCUCACCCUCUCUCUCUCUCUCUCUCUCUCUCUCUCUCUCUCUCUCUCUCGCACUCAGCCUCUCCCUUUCCCAUUAGUUUGCUUCCAUGACAUUUGUCCUUCAUGUUUAUCUUCUUUCCUUUUUUUCUUCUUGCAACACCUGGCAGCAACGAUAAAGGUAAAAGCUCUGUAAUUUUUCUCCGACCCGCUCCCUCAAUUCUGUCAGAAAACCCUGCUACCAAUUUUCCAUCUCUAUCUCUCUCUCAGUUUAAAUGCUGGAGGAGAGAGCUCUCCUUUGGAUUCACUGAUCUCAACGAGCUCACGUUUUCAAAGGCGGACUCGUUUGGUUAUCGCGUUCACAUCAGAUCUAGGGUUUCUUUUACUUUCUCGCUUCCUGUUUUAUUGAUUUAAGCUAUGGCUGCAGCAGAAGAAUGGGAACUGUAGGAGCACAUCAUUCAAGCUAUGGCUGAAGUCUUGCAAUUCUCUGAAAUAGUAGGCAAGGGGUGCUAUAUUAGCACUCCCUUCAUCAGUUCCUGUAACCUAAAAGCUCUACAGGGCCUGCUGCCAAUUUUUAUUUAUUUUUUGGUUUUAG